rnacentral:rRNA from 1 species
AGAGUUUGAUCAUGGCUCAGGAUAAACGCUGGCGGCGUGCCUAAUGCAUGCAAGUCGAACGGGAUCCCUUUCGGGGGACGACCGUGGCGGACGGGUGAGGAGCACGUAGCUAACCUGCCCUGGUGUGGGGGAUAUCCUUCGGAAACGGAGUGUAAUACCGCAUGUGCUUGAUUGGGGGGACCCGGUCAAGGAAAGCCGAGAGGCGUACCAGGAGGGGGCUGCGUCCGAUUAGCUAGUUGGUGUGGUAAUGGCGCACCAAGGCGAUGAUCGGUCGCUGGUCUGAGAGGACGAUCAGCCACACGGGGACUGAGACACGGCCCCGACUCCUACGGGAGGCAGCAGCAAGGAAUUUUCCACAAUGGGCGCAAGCCUGAUGGAGCAACGCCGCGUGCGGGAUGACGCCCUUCGGGGUGUAAACCGCUUUUCGAGGGGACGAAGGCAAUGACGGUACCCUCGGAAUAAGGAUCGGCUAACUACGUGCCAGCAGCCGCGGUAAGACGUAGGAUCCGAGCGUUGUCCGGAGUUACUGGGCGUAAAGCGCGCGCAGGCGGAUACGCGCAUCGGCGGUGAAAGCCCCCCGCUCAACGGGGGAGGGUCCGUCGAGAUGGCGUGUCUGGAGGCAGGGAGAGGCCAGUGGAAUUCCGGGUGUAGUGGUGAAAUGCGUAGAGAUCCGGAGGAACACCAGUGGCGAAGGCGGCUGGCUG